rnacentral:lncRNA from 1 species
UUAUCAUUAUCACUAUUAUUAUUAUUAUUGUUAUUAUUAUAUUCCUGUCUUAAUAAACUGUCUUUAUCUCAACUCACCGGCUUCACUUUCCCGUUUCUCUCCCCCAUCCCAGAGAGGGAGAGGGGAGGGUGAGCAAACGGCUGUGUGGUGUUUAGCUGCCAGCCGGGUUAAACCACAACACUCAGGGAAGAAGAGGAAUUUCCUGGGGAAAUGUAAACUGGUACAGGGGAAUUGUCACUGGAGGCAAAGAAAAUAAAAUCACCUCAGAAGUGUUGCAAGGAUGUGAUCUACAGUCAGCUUUUGAGCGAGCCAGUAAGGUCCCUCCCUGAUGGAAAGCACGCUGCUGUGGAUGCCCAGCGAUAGGUGAGCACAAACUAAAUUCUUUUCAGAGUUGCCAAGCUGUGAGAGUACGUCCUGCAUGAGAGGACACUCAGGAGCUUAAUGGUAGAGGAUAUUCAAGGGUUAUUACACCACUCUGCUCCCUGCCAUCUCACUAGGCUAGGAGCAGUAACUGUAUCGUUACAGGUCAAAAUCUGUUUUCAAAAAUAAUCAUUUCUCUCCUUGGCAGCCUUGUCUGGGUCUUUCCUGAGACAUUAAAAAGAGCGAUUUUCAAAACUUGCUGCAAAAUUCUUAGGGUAGAUUUGCACCUGGACAUCACAAGUAUAUCAGCCGGAGACUUUCAAGAUGUAAUAUUUCACCUGUAGUGUGGGGGCAGAGGAGGAAUGAUGAAUUUUUCAUGAUUUAUAAUAAAAUUCCUGAGAACUAGUCUCA